UUAAGUUCAGCGGGUAAUCUUGCCUGAUCCGAGGUCGACCAAUAAAUGAUUUGGGUACGGGCAGUCGUUCCACCAGGCUCAGAACACAUUUUGCUGUGCUUGGGCUGACUUCAGACGCCAAUCAGUUUGAAGCAACUGGCUUUCUCACAGAGACAGCCAGAGGCUCAUCGCAAGGCAAAGCCUCAUGGUCUUUAACGACG
rnacentral:misc_RNA from 1 species